UACGGAGGAUGCAAGCGUUAUCCGGAUUUAUUGGGUUUAAAGGGUCCGCAGGCGGGAUAAUAAGUCAGAGGUGAAAUCCUACGGCUCAACUGUAGAACUGCCUUUGAUACUGUUAUCCUAGAGUGUAGUUGAGGUGGGCGGAAUAUGUCAUGUAGCGGUGAAAUGCAUAGAUAUGACAUAGAACACCGAUCGCGAAGGCAGCUCACCAAGCUAAUACUGACGCUCAGGGACGAAAGCGUGGGGAU
rnacentral:rRNA from 1 species